CCUACGGGAGGCAGCAGUAAGGAAUAUUGGUCAAUGGACGAAAGUCUGAACCAGCCAUGCCGCGUGAAGGAUUAAGGCCCUCUGGGUUGUAAACUUCUUUUAUCUGGGACGAAAAAAGGGUAUUCUUACUCACUUGACGGUACCAGAGGAAUAAGCACCGGCUAACUCCGUGCCAGCAGCCGCGGUAAUACGGAGGGUGCAAGCGUUAUCCGGAUUUACUGGGUUUAAAGGGUGCGUAGGUGGGCUUGUAAGUCAGUGGUGAAAUCCCCGGGCUUAACCCGGAAACUGCCAUUGAUACUAUAGGUCUUGAAUUAUCUGGAGGUAAGCGGAAUAUGUCAUGUAGCGGUGAAAUGCUUAGAUAUGACAUAGAACACCAAUUGCGAAGGCAGCUUACUACGGAUAUAUUGACACUGAGGCACGAAAGCGUGGGGAUCAAACAGGAUUAGAUACCCUGGUAGUCCACGCCCUAAACGAUGGAUACUCGACAUCAGCGAUACACUGUUGGUGUCUGAGCGAAAGCAUUAAGUAUCCCACCUGGGAAGUACGAUCGCAAGAUUGAAACUUAAAUGAAUUGACGG
rnacentral:rRNA from 1 species